rnacentral:rRNA from 1 species
UACGUAGGGGGCAAGCGUUGUCCGGAAUCAUUGGGCGUAAAGAGCGCGUAGGCGGCCCGAUAAGUCCGUUGUGAAAGUCAAGGGCUUAACCCUUGAAUGCCGGUGGAAACUGUCGGGCUAGAGUCCGGAAGAGGCGAGUGGAAUUCCAGGUGUAGCGGUGAAAUGCGCAGAUAUCAGGAGGAACACCGAUGGCGAAGGCAGCUCGCUGGGACGGUACUGACGCUGAGGCGCGAAAGCGUGGGGAGCAAACAGG